AUUGAACGCUGGCGGCAGGCCUAACACAUGCAAGUCGAGCGGAUGAAGGGAGCUUGCUCCUGGAUUCAGCGGCGGACGGGUGAGUAAUGCCUAGGAAUCUGCCUGGUAGUGGGGGAUAACGUCCGGAAACGGGCGCUAAUACCGCAUACGUCCUGAGGGAGAAAGUGGGUGAUCUUCGGACCUCACGCUAUCAGAUGAGCCUAGGUCGGAUUAGCUAGUUGGGGGGGUAAAGGCCUACCAAGGCGACGAUCCGUAACUGGUCUGAGAGGAUGACCAGUCACACUGGCACUGAGACACGGUCCAGACUCCUACGGGAGGCAGCAGUGGGGAAUAUUGGACAAUGGGCGAAUGCCUGAUCCAGCCAUGCCGCGUGUGUGAAGAAGGUCUUCGGAUUGUAAAGCAAUUUAAGUUGGGAGGAAGGGCAGUACGUUAAUACCUUGCUGUUUUGACGUUACCAACAGAAUAAGCACCGGCUAACUUCGUG
rnacentral:rRNA from 1 species